rnacentral:pre_miRNA from 1 species
GUAAUACUCCCUCCGUUCCAAAAUUCUUGUCUUAGGUCUAUAUAUGAAUGUAUCUAGUCACGUUUUAGUAUUUAGAUGCAUUCAUUUUUAAAUAAAAUUAAGAUAAAAAUAUUGGGACGGAGGGAGUAUUUA